rnacentral:rRNA from 1 species
AUGGACCAUUCCAUCCCUUAUUCCCGUGGCUAUGCAUUGGAUUCGGAUGACGAAGGUCCCGAUGAACAAGUUAAUGAGGAGGGGUUCACGGUGAAGGAGGCCGAAACUUUCGAGAAGGUAUUCGGUCGGGAUCAUCGGACUACAUUGUUCAAGGAUGUUAGUCUCGCGGAUGAAGCCGUGGUAGAUGGUGGCCAAGGUAUAUCUCUUGGGGUUAGGCCAAGCUCUCAC